UUUUUUUUGUGUUUUUUUU
rnacentral:sRNA from 1 species